rnacentral:misc_RNA from 1 species
UGAAGGGGAAGCUUGAAUUUUCAUCACGUGAGGGUGUGUUUCAUCAUCCUCUACAAUCACAUCACUAGUGACAUCACUCAUUGACGUCGGACAUCUAUCUGCAUCCGUUACAAAAUUUCGAAAAUGAACGACUGCGCUAUCCGACUGCCGAGCGUGGACAAGUGGCUCGAAUUUGGGAACCACUGCAAUAAGGAACGCGUCUCAUUCAUCGUCUACGCUGAUUUGGAGUGCGUUCUACGGAAGACGAAAUCCAUCAGGGAAGAUGCAUGGUCGUACACAUAUCAACAGCACGAGGCAUUAAUAGGAUACUACGUGCGAUAAAAAAAAUUACGAAAAGGGGAAAAAAAGCAGAAUUCGAUUAUGGAAUUUCCAACAUUCUGUUCUCGCGCGAGGCCACGUCGAGUUCUUCUGGAUCACGUUUAUAAAUGCACUAUAUACUGCUCACGGAAAAUCGUAAACAAUUAAUAAAACAAUUAAUAAAAAUUGGGAACAAUUAAAAU